rnacentral:rRNA from 1 species
CACUGUUUCGGUGCGGGCUGCGAGAGCGGUACCAAAUCGAGACGAACUCUGAAUACCCUGUGUGAAACUAGGCAGUCAGACUGUGGGGGAUAAGCUCCAUGGUCGAAAGGGAAACAGCCCAGACCGCCAGCUAAGGUCCCCAAAUCAACGCUCAGUGAUAAAGGAGGUGGGAUUGCCCAGACAACCAGGAGGUUUGCCUAGAAGCAGCCAUCCUCAAAGGAGUGCGUAAUAGCUCACUGGUCGAGCGAUCCUGCGCCGAAAAUGAACGGGGCUAAGCGUUGUACCGAAGCUGCGGAUUUAACUUGUUAAAUGGUAGGGGAGCGUUCCAUGUGGGGCGAAGCGUUAGCGUAAGCGGGCGUGGACUUCAUGGAAGUGAGAAUGUCGGCUUGAGUAGCGAAAACAUGGGUGAGAAUCCCAUGCCCCGAAACCCUAAGGGUUCCUCCGGCAGGCUCGUCCGCGGAGGGUUAGUCAGGACCUAAGGCGAGGCCGAAAGGCGUAGUCGAUGGACAACAGGUCAACAUUCCUGUACCUGUCAUGUUUUGGGAAGGGGGACGGAGAAGGCUAGCCCAGCCAGAAGUUGGUUACUGGUUCAAGCGUUCGAGGCGUUGAGAAGUGGCGAAAACACUUUGAGCUGAGGCGUGAGUACGAGCUGCUACGGCAGCGAAGUGGGUGACGUCAAGCUUCCAAGAAAAGCCCUAUACCCGUUAAGGCAUGACGGCCUGUACCCGAAACCGACACAGGUGGGGUGGUAGAGAAUACCGAGGGGCGCGAGGUAACUCUCUCUAAGGAACUCGGCAAAAUGGCCCCGUAACUUCGGGGAGAAARGG